rnacentral:lncRNA from 1 species
UGUUUUUUUUUGUUUUAAUUAGUGUUUGUGCCAAGUAAAUCCUUUAGGAUCUUCUUGGGUGAUAGUUGUUUGAUCUUGCUGAAAAACACAGAAACUUUGCACUCACGAAAAUAAUUCUCAUAAAUCACAUAAAAGAGAUUUUGCCCAGAUUAUUUUUUCAUAAGAUUAAUAUACAAACUAUGUUGGUCUUCCUAAUUUGGUAGAAUUGUUGGAGUUACAGAAGUAUUCGAAAGUUCCAUAUUACUACAGACUGUUCUGUUUUGACAGAUUCUGUUUUCUUUGUGUUGUGUGCUUAUUUUGAUGGCUCUAUGGUUUUCUUUGAUGAGUUUUUGCCAUAGAAAAGUUGGAAUAUAGUAUAUAUAAUAAAAAAACAAAAUAAUAAUUGGUUUGACACAGCACUUAUAGUAGUGGUUUGCUUUCUUUUACUGACGGAUCUCACAAGGGUUUUAUUGAGUUUUGUGUGAUUGAAGUUCUCAAGUUUUGGGUUAUCUUACGAUGGAUGAAAGAAGGAUAGAACAGCCUAAGCUUGGGGAUGCCACGGCAUCCCAAGCUAUUAUCCAAGAAUGAGCAACCAACUAAGCUUGGGGAUGCCCCCGAGUGGCAUCCCCUCUUUCUCCCAACGGCCAUCGGUAUUUUACUCGAGGCUAUAUUUUUAUUCGUCACAUGAUAUGUGUUUUGCUUGGAGUGUCUUGUAUGAUAUGUGUCUUUGCUUGUUUUAUUUUGUGUUUUAAGUCAUCAAUCCUUGUUGGACACACCUAUUUGAGAGAGCCAAAAUUAUGUCAUGACUUGUUAGAAUUGCUCUCUAUGCUUCACUUAAAUUUUUAUGAGCAAUGGACUUGCUCUAGUGCUUCACUUAUAUCUUUUUGAGCACGGUGUGCUUAGUAUUUUUGAAGAAAUGCUCUCUUGCUUCACUUAGAAUUAUAUGGGAGUUAUUAAAAUUUUGAAGAAAUUCUCUCUUGCUUCACCUAAAUUAUUUUGAGAGAAAGAAAAUAUGUUAUGCUCAUGAUCUUCACUUAUAUUUGUUUGAGCUUAUGAAAAGCAACACAUGAAAAUUAGUCCCAAAGUGAUAGAUAUCCAAGAAGGAUAAAGAAAGAAAGAAAAUAUAUGUCAUGAAGAUCAUUGGAUAAAAUAAACUUAAUUCUUAGUAAUAGUUUUGAGAUAUGAUGAUGUGAUAUGUGAGUUAUGUUGAUGAGUAAUUGUGCUCUAGUAAGAAUAUUGGUGUUAAGGUUUGUGAUUCCCUAUGCAUGCAUGAAAGUCAAUAAUCAUGCAAUAAAAAUUAUAUCCUUCUUGUGGUGCAUUAUUCGGUGUAAAUUAUGCUUAAUGCAUGCUUAUGAGAUUAUUCAUUUCUUGGUUGGUCGCUUCUCAAUCUUUUUGCUAGCCUUCAUUUUGCACCAAGUAUGACCUCCACUUGUGCAUCCAAAAUCCUUUAAACCAUUUUUGCCACAUGAGUCCACUAUAUCUACCUAUAUGCAGUAUUCUUUAGCUGUUCUAAGCAAAUUUGCAAGUGUCAUCUCUAAUUUUCAAAAUAAACUUCUCUUUUGUGUGUUUGUUUCACUCGUGGAACGGUAAAGGGUAGCAAAUAUUUUCCAUGCUAGAUGUGUUAUUCGCAUGACGAGUGUUUAUUCACUUGUCAUUGCACGAGAGUAAGGCAAAGGUUUAGGGAUGCCCAGUCCCGAAAUGCAAAAAUGAAUUUACUUUAUGUUGUCAAAUAAUAAAUUCUUUGGAAAGUGUUGGUAUGGAGGGCGAUACGGCUAGCCAUGGAAAGUGAAAGUAUGGUGGAAAAAGGAAUAAACUUUAUUUUCUGUUUGGGAACCGCCUAUGAUAUAUCUAGCAUGGAAAGUGUCGGGAUGCUCUGAGUCGUUUUCGUUGGUGGGAUGGAUACACCUCCCAAAAUGUUUUUAUCUCUAUUUUUUCGCUUUGAGCUUUGGCACCUCUACAAAUCCCUACUUCCCUCUGUGAAGGGCCUCUCUGUUACUUUAUGCAAUUUUUAUUUUUGAAAUUGAGUCUCCAUCUUCUCUUAUAAAAGCACCAACUAGGAGGCAAUAUGAUCGUAGUUAAGUAUUGAGUGUAGCUAAUAUUUGAGUGUGGUUCAUGAAUGGAUCAAUGUUUGAGCAUGAUGGGCUAGGGAUAACUUGUUUUAGCAUUGAUAUUUUAAAAGACAUGGUUGCUUGUUGAUAUGCUUGAGUAUCUAAAUUAUUAUGUCAAAACUAGACUAUUACUUUGAAUCACAUAAAAGUCCAAAUGUCCAUGCUAUAAAGAAAAGAAUAUGAUAUGACAUGAUAAACAGCACUCCACAUCAAAAAAUUUGUUUUUAUCACUUACCUACUCGAGGACGAGCAGGAGUUAAACUUGGGGAUGCUGAUACGUCUCCAACGUAUCUAUAAUUUUUGAUUAUUCCAUGUUGUUUUAUUAUCAAUAUUGGAUGUUUCAUAAUCAUUUUAUAGUCAUUUUAUAUCAUUUUUUGUUACUAACCUAUUGACAUAGUGCCAAGUGUCAGUUGUUGUUUUCUGCAUGUUUUUUACAUUGCAGGAAAUCAAUAUCAGACGAAGUCCAAAUGCCACACCAAUUUACAAUGAUUUUCUAUGGACCAAAAGGAAGAAGAUGGGCCCUGGUUGCACCUGGGGGGAGCCCCGAGGAGGGGACAAUCCACCAGGGCAUGCCAGGAGGCCCAGGCGCGCCCUGGUGGGUCGUGCCACCUCGGGUACCCCCCCCCCCCGACCGCCUCUUUACUCUAUAAAUAACCCAAUAUUAUAGAAUACCUAGGGGAGUCGAAGAAAUAUUCAUCCAGCCGCCGUAGAGGCCAGAACCACCAGAUCCAAUCUAGACACCAUCACGGAGGGGUUCACCACUUCUAUUGGUGCCUCUCCGAUGAUGCGUGAGUAGUUCCUUGUAGACCUUUNNNNNNNNNNNNNNNNNNNNNNNNNNNNNNNNNNNNNNNNNNNNNNNNNNNNNNNNNNNNNNNNNNNNNNNNNNNNNNNNNNNNNNNNNNNNNNNNNNNNNNNNNNNNNNNNNNNNNNNNNNNNNNNNNNNNNNNNNNNNNNNNNNNNNNNNNNNNNNNNNNNNNNNNNNNNNNNNNNNNNNNNNNNNNNNNNNNNNNNNNNNNNNNNNNNNNNNNNNNNNNNNNNNNNNNNNNNNNNNNNNNNNNNNNNNNNNNNNNNNNNNNNNNNNNNNNNNNNNNNNNNNNNNNNNNAGUCCAAAUGCCACACCAAUUUACAAUGAUUUUCUAUGGACCAAAAGGAAGAAGAUGGGCCCUGGUUGCACCUGGGGGGAGCCCCGAGGAGGGGACAAUCCACCAGGGCAUGCCAGGAGGCCCAGGCGCGCCCUGGUGGGUCGUGCCACCUCGGGUACCCCCCCCCCCCGCCCGCCUCUUUACUCUAUAAAUAACCCAAUAUUAUAGAAUACCUAGGGGAGUCGAAGAAAUAUUCAUCCAGCCGCCGUAGAGGCCAGAACCACCAGAUCCAAUCUAGACACCAUCACGGAGGGGUUCACCACUUCUAUUGGUGCCUCUCCGAUGAUGCGUGAGUAGUUCCUUGUAGACCUUUGGGUCCAUAGUUAGUAGCUAGAUGGAUUCCUCUCUCUCUCUCUCUCUCUUGAUUAUCAAUACAAUGGUCUCUUGGAGAUCCAUAUGAUGUAAGUCUUUUGGCGGUGUGUUUGUUGGGAUCCAAUGAACUUCGAGUUUAUGAUCAGUUAUAUCUUUUUAUAUCCAUGAAAGUUAUUUGAGUUUCUUUGAUCUCUUAUAUGCGUGAUCUCUUAUAGACUCAUAUUUCUUCUCCGAUAGGGUUUUGUUUGGCCAACUUGAUCUAUUUAUCUUGCAAUGGGAAGAGGUGCUUGGUAGUAGGUUCGAUCUUACGGUGCUUGAUCGCAGUGACAGAAAGGGAACCGACACGUAUGUAUCGUUGCUACUAAGGAUAAAAAGAUGGGAUCCAUAUCCGCCGCAAUAGAUAAAUGAAUCUUGUCUACAUCAUGUCAUCGUUCUUAUUGCAUUACUCCAUUUUUCCAUGAACUUAAUACACUAGAUGCAUGCUGGAUAGCGGUCGAUGUGUGGAGUAAUAGUAGUAGAUGCAGGCAGGAGUCGGUCUACUAAUCUUGGACGUGAUGCCUAUGUAAUGAUCAUUCCCUGGAUAUCAUCAUAAUUAUUUGAAGUUCUAUCAAUUUCCCAACAGUAAUUUGUUCACCCACCGUUUGCUAUCUUUCUCAAGAGAAGCCACUAGUGAAACCUACGGCCCCCGGGACUUCUUUCUCAUAUAUUUGCCUUGCGAUCUACUUUUUCCUUGCGUUUAUUUUCAGAUCUAUUAAACCAAAAAUACCAAAAUACCUUGCUUCAAUUUAUUCUUAUUUAUUUUAUUUUGCGUUCGAUCUAUCAAUCUACUACAAAUUUACCUCACGCCCUUUGCCUAUCUUGAGGCGUCGUACCCCGAAAGGGAUUGACAACCCCUUUAACAUGCCGGGUUGCGAGGUGUUGUUAUUUGUGUAUAGGGGCUGUUUACGUUAUGUUGCUUGGUUCUCCUACUAGUCUGAUAACCUUGGUUUCAUAUCUGAGGGAAAUACCUACCGCCGAUGUGUUGUAUCAUCCCUUCCUCUUUGGGGAAAUACUGACGUAGCUUCAAGCGACAUCAUGGAGCCAUCGGUCACCCCUAAGAAAGGCUUGGUGAGCAGAAGCUGGUCGUAUGGCACCUGGAGCGUGUCAAACAUCUCGACGGAGAGGACGUUGAGCCCCGCACCACCGCAGAUGAGGGUCUUGGUGAUGGGGACGUUGCUGAUUGUGGCUGUGUAGAGCAUCGAGAGCGCGCCAGCAACGGCCAAGAACUUGAGCUAGUCCAUAGAGUCAAAGGUGAUGGUGUGCUUGGACCACCUGAGGGGGCGCAACGCCUCGAGCUUGGGGAGGGCCGUGUUCACCUCACGAGUGAACUUCUUGAAGAUGCGAUGAGAAGCGGGGGCCUGAGCACUGAUACAUCUCCAAUGUAUCUAUAAUUUUUGAUGUAUUCAUGCCAUGUUUAUAAUAUUUUUACAUGAUUUUGGUAUAAUUUGGUUAGAACUAACCCAGACUGAUGCUAUUUUCAGCAGAACUACUGUGGUGUUGUUUUUGUGCAGAAAUAAAAGUUCUCAGAAUGCGCUAAAAAUCAACGAAGAUUCUUCUGGAAAAUAUAAACAAUACUAGAACGAAGAGUUACCGGAGGGGAGUCCCAUGGGCCCCACGAGGGUGGAGGGCACCCCACCCCCUAGGGCACACCCCCUGCCUCAUGGACUCUCCGUGGGGCCCCCUAACUUGUUCUCAACACCAACCUCUCCUAUAAAUCCCCAAACCUCCAUAACAUAACCUAGAUUAGGAGUUCCGCCGCCGCAAUCCUCUAUAGCCACCAAAAACCAAUCGGGACCCUGUUCCGGCACCCUGCCGGAGGGGGAAUCCAUCACCGGUGGCCAUCUUCAUCAUCCCGGUGCUCUCCAUGACAAGGAGGGAGUAGUUCACCCUCGGGCUGAGGGUAUGUACCACUAGCUAUGUGUUUGAUCUCUCUCUCUCUCUCUCUCUCUCUCUCUCUUGUGUUCUUGAUAUGGCACGAUCUUGAUGUACCAUGAGCUUUGCUAUUAUAGUUGGAUCUUAUGAUGUUUCUCCCCCUCUACCUUCUUGUAAUGGAUUGAGUUAUCCCUUUGAAGUUAUCUUAUCGGAUUGAGUCUUUCAGGAUUUGAGAACACUUGAUGUAUGUCUUGCGUGGGAUACCCGUGGUGACAAUGGGGUAUUCUAUCGAUUCACUUGAUGUAUGUUUUGGUGAUCAACUUGCGUGUUCCGUGACCUUGGGAAUCUAUGAAUAGGGGUUGGCACACGUUUUCAUCUUGACUCCCCGGUAGAAACUUUGGGGCACUCUUUGAAGUUCUUUGUGUUCGUUUGAAUAGAUGAAUCUGAGAUUGUGUGAUGCAUAUCGUAUAAUCAUACCCGCGGAUACUUGAGGUACAUUGGAAUAUCUAGGUGACAUUAGGGUUUUGGUUGAUGUGUGUCCUAAGGUGUUAUUUUACUACAAACUCUAGGGUUGUUUCUAACACUUAUAGGAAUAGCCCAAUGUAUUGAUCGGAAUGAAUAACUUUGAGGUGGUUUCGUACCCUACAAUAAUCUCUUCGUUUGUUCUCCGCUAUUAGUGACUUUGGAGUGACUCUUUGUUGCACUUUGAGGGAUUGUUAUAUGAUCUAAUUAUGUUAUCUUUGUUGAGGGAACUUGCACUAGUGAAAGUAUGAACCCUAGGCCUUGUUUCGAAGCAUUGCAAUACCGUUUUCUCUCACUUUUGUUACUUGCUACCUUGCUGUUUUUAUAUUUUCAGAUUACAAAAACCUAUAUCUACCAUCCAUAUUGCACUUGUAUCACCAUCUCUUCGCCGAACUAGUGCACCUAUAAAAUUUACCAUUGUAUUGGGUGUGUUGGGGACACAAGGGACUCUUUGUUAUUUGGUUGCAGGGUUGUUUGAGAGAGACCAUCUUCAUCCUACGCCUCCCAUGGAUUGAUAAACCUUAGGUCAUCCACUUGAGGGAAAUUUGCUACUGUCCUACAAACCUCUGCAAUUGGAGGCCCAACAACACCUACAAGAAGAAGGUUGCAUAGUAGACAUCAAGCUCUUUUCUGGCAUCGUUGUCGGGGAGGUUAGUGCUUGAUGGUAUAUAUUUAGAUGUUGCAAUCGAAUCUUUUAGUUGUUUUAUCACUAGUUUAGUAUAUAAAAUAAAACUACAAAAAAAUGGAAUUGAGGUUGGCUCAUAUGCUUCAUCUUUAUCAUGUCUUUCUUGAAAAUGAUGGAUCGGAAAAUUGUGCCGAAGUGUUAGAAGAAAAAUGCACUAAAAUGUUUGGCACUAAAUCUUUGAAUGAUGAGCAUGACUGCAAUGUUGUUAGUAUGAAUUCCUUGAAUAUCCAUGAUGCUAAUGAUAUGCAAAGCCACAAGCUUGGGGAUGCUAUGUUUAAUGAAUAUGAUAGUUUUACUCCCCCAAGUUUGGAUGAGAAAAUUUAUUUUAAUGAUAGCAUGCCUCCUAUUUAUGAUUAUUGUAUUGUUGAAAGCGGGUUUGUAAGAGUGUCAACUUUAGGAAGUAAUGAUCCCACUAUUUUGGAGGGUGUUGAAUCUUAUUAUAACAAUGAAAGUGGAUUUGGAGAGGUCAUGACUUUAUUUAGUGAUGAAUCCACUAUUUUAGAAGAGGUUCCAAUUGAUUAUGAGAAUAAAGUUGCUAUCUAUGAUGAUUAUUGUGAUGACAUGUAUGCUAUAAAGAAUAAUUAUAACCAUGAAACUUGUCAUCUUGACUUUAAUUUUCAAUUGGAUUAUGCCUCACAUGAUAGUUAUUUUGUUGAGUUUGCUCCCACUAUUCUGAUUGAGAAGAGUUUUGCUUAUGUGGAGAGUAAUAAAAAUUCUAUGCUUGUGGCUCAUGAAGAGAAUGAUCUAUGUGAUGGUUAUAUUGUUGAAUUCAUUCAUGAUGCUACUAAAAAUUAUUAUGAGGGAGGAAUAUCUGCUUUUAGGAAUUGCAAUAAUAUCAAGUUUCCUCUCUAUUUGUUGAAAAUCUUGAAGUUAUGCUUGUUUUGCUUUCCUAUGCUAGUUGAUUAUUGUUCCCAUAAGUUGUUUGCUCACAAAAUACCUAUGCAUAGGAAGUGGGUUAGGCUUAAAUGUGCUAGUCAUAUUAUUUAUGGUGCUCCCAUUAUGUUUCAAUUCUUAUCUUUUAUACGAGCAUCAUUGACAUCGACAUGCCUAGCUAGAAAGGCAUUAAAGAAAACUGCUUGUUGGGAGAAAAUCCAAUAUUUACCCCUAUUGUUUUUGUGUUUUCACAUGAUUAAGCUAAUGUAGUAAUCAUGUUUUAUAGAUUUCGUUUCAAUAAAGUGCCAAGUAAGACCUUUAGGAUAGCUUACGGUGAUAGUUGUGUUGAUCCUGCUGAAAAUUGGAAACUUUUGCGCCUAGUAAAUUAGUUUUGAAAAUUCACAUAAACGUCAUUUUGAUCUUAUUCAUUUUGCUCUGGAUUGGUACACAAAUUUCUCAGGUUUUCCUAAUUUUUCUGGAUUUUUGAAGUCACAUAAGUAUUCGAGAGUUACAGAUAACUACAGACUGUUCUGUUUUUGGCAGAUUCUGUUUUCUAUGUGUGUUUGCUUAUUUUGAUGAAUCUAUGAGUAAUAUCGGAGGGUAUGAACCAUAGAGCAGUUGGAAUACAGUAUAUAUUACACCAAUAUGAAUUUAGAAUGAGUUCACAACAUUACCUAAGUGGUGAUUUUAUUUUCUUAAUCUAACGGGGCUUACAAGUUUUCUGUUGAGUUUUGUGUUGUGAAGUUUUCAAGUUUUGGGUAAAGAUUCGAUGGUCUAUGGAAUAAGGAGUGGAAAGAGCCUAAGAUUGGGGAUGCUCAAGGCACUCCAAGGUAAUAUUAAAGGACAACCAAGAUACUAAGCUUGGGGAUGCCCCGGAUGGAAUCCCCUCUUUCGUCUUCGUUCAUCGGUAACUUUACUUGGAGCUAUAUUUUUAUUCACCACAUGAUAUGUGUUUUGCUUGGAGCAUCAUUUUAUUUUGUUUUGUUUUGCUUGUUGUUUGAAUAAUAUCCCAAGAUCUGAAAUUCUUAAAUGUUAGAGAGUCUUCACAUAGUUACAUAAUUGUUCAACUACUCAUUGAUCUUCACUUAUAUCUUUCGGAGUAGUUUGUCAUUUGCUCUAGUGCUUCACUUAUAUCUUUUUAGAGCACGAUGGUGGUUUUAUUUUGAAGAAAUUGAUGAACUCUCGUGCUUCACUCAUAUUAGUUUGAGAGUCUUAAAUAGCAUGGUAAUUUGCUUAGGUUAUGAAUUUAGUCCUAAUAUGAUGGGCAUCCAAGAGGGAUAUAAUAAAAACUUUCAUAUAAAGUGCAUUGAAUACUAUGAGAAGUUUGAUUCCUUAUGAUUGUUUGAGAUAUGAAGAUGGUGAUAUUAGAGUCAUGCUAGUGGAGUAUUUGUGAAUUUGAGAGAUACUUGUGUUAAAGUUUAUGAUUCUCAUAGCAUGCACGUAUGGUGAACCGUUAAUUAUGUGAUGAAGUCGGAGCAUGAUUUAUUUAUUGAUUGCCUUCCUUAUGUGUGGAGGUCGGGAUCUUGCGAUGGUUAACUCCUACCAACCCUUCCCCUAGGAGCAUGCGCGUAGUACUUUUUUAUGACUAAAAGAUUUUUGCAAUAAGUAUGUGAGUUCUUUAUGACUAAUGUUGAGUCCAUGGAUUAUACGCACUCUCACCCUUCCACCAUUGCUAGCCUCUCUUGUGCCGCGCAACUUUCGACUGUACCAUAACACCCACCAUUACCUUCCUCAAAAUAGCCACCAUACCUACCUAUUAUGGCAUUUCCAUAGCCAUUCUGAGAUAUUAUUUCCAUGCAACUUUCCAAUGUUCUGUUUAUUAUGACAUGCUUCAUCAUUGUCAUAUUGCUUUGCAUGAUCAUGUAGUUGACAUCGUAUUUGUGGCAAAGCCACCUUUCUUAAUUCUUUCAUACAUGUCACUCUGGAUUCACUGCACAUCCCGGUACACCGCCAGAGGCAUUCACAUAGAGUCAUAUUUUGUUCUAAGUAUCGAGUUGUAAUUCUUGAGUUGUAAAGUAAAUAAAAGUGUGAUGACCAUCAUUAUUAGAGCAUUGUCCCAGUGAGAAAAGGAUGAUGGAGGCUAUCAUUCCCCCACAAGUCGGGAUGAGACUCCGAACGAAAGAUAAAAAUAAAAUAAAAUAAAAGAGGCCAUAAAAAGAGAAGGCCCAAAUAAAAAAUAAAAAAUAAUGAGAGAAAAAGAGAGAAGGGGCAAUGCUACUAUCCUUUUACCACACUUGUGCUUCAAAGUAACACCAUGAUCUUCAUGAUAGAGAGUCUCCUAUGUUGUCACUUUCAUAUACUAGUGGGAAUUUUUCAUUAUAUAGAACUUGGCUUGUAUAUUCCAAUGAUGGGCUUCCUCAAAUGCCCUAGGUCUUCAUGAGCAAGCAAGUUGGAUGCACACCCAUUUAGUUUCUUUUUGAGCUUUCAUAAACUUAAAGCUCUAGUGCAUCCGUUGCAUGGCAAUCCCUACUCACUCACAUUGAUAUCUAUUGAUGGGCAUCUCCAUAACCCGUUGAUACGCCUAGUUGAUGUGAGACUAUCUUCCUCCUUUUUGUCUUCUCCACAACCACCAUUCUAUUCCACCUAUAGUGCUAUGUCCAUGGAUCACGCUCAUGUAUUGCGUGAAGAUUGAAAAAGUUUGAAAAUACUAAAGUAUGAAACACUUGCUUGGCUGAAACCUGGGCUGUGCAUGAUUUAAAUAUUUUGUGUGAUGAAGAUAGAGCAUAGCCAGACUAUAUGAUUUUGUAGGGAUAGCUUUCUUUGGCCAUGUUAUUUUGAGAAGACAUGAUUGCUUUGUCAGUAUGCUUGAAGUAUUAUUAUUUUCAUGUCAAUAUUAAACUUUUAUUUUGAAUCUUAUGGAUCUGAGUAUUCUUGCCACAAUAAAGAGAGAUUAUAUUGAUAAAUAUGUUAGGUAGCAUUCCACAUCAAAAAUUCUGUUUUUAUCAUUUACCUACUCGAGGACGAGCAGGAAUUAAGCUUGGAGAUGAUUGAUACGUCUCCAACUUAUCUAUAAUUUUUGAUGUAUUCAUGCCAUGUUUAUAAUAUGUUUACAUGAUUUUGGUAUGAUUUAGUUAGAACUAACCCGGACUGACGCUGUUUUCAGCAGAACUACCAUGGUGUUGUUUUUGUGCAGAAAUAAAAGUUCUCAGAAUAUGCUGAAAAUCAAUGGAGAUUUUUUCUGGAAAAUAUAAAAAAUACUGGAAUGAAGAGUUACCGGAGGGGAGUCCCGUGGGCCCCACAAGGGUGGAGGGCCCCCCCUAGGGAGCACUCCCUCCCUCAUGGACUCUCCGUGGGGCCCCCUAACUUAUUCUCGACACCAACCUCUCCUAUAAAUCCCCAAACCUCUAGAACAUAACCUAGAUCGGGAGUUCCGCCGCCGCAAGCCUCUGUAGCCACCAAAAAACAAUUGGGACCCUGUUCUGGCACCCUGUCGGAGGGGAAAUCCAUCACUGGUGGCCAUCUUCAUCAUCCCGGCGCUCUCCAUGACGAGGAGGGAGUAUUUCACCCUCGGGGCUGAGGGUAUGUACCAGUAGCUAUGUGUUUGAUCUCUCUCUAUCUCGUGUUCUUGAUAUGGCAUGAUCUUGCUGUACCGUGAGCUUUGCUAUUAUAGUUGGAUCUUAUGAUGUUUCUCCCCCUCUACCUUCUUGUAACGGAUUGAGUUUUCCCUUUGAAGUUAUCUUAUCGGAUUGAGUCUUUAAGGAUUUGAGAACACUUGAUGUAUGUCUUGCGUGGGAUACCAGUGGUGACAAUGGGGUAUUCUAUUGAUUCACUUGAUGUAUGUUUUGGUGAUCAACUUGCGGGUUCCGUGACCUUGGGAAUCUAUGCAUAGGGGUUGGCACACGUUUUCAUCUUGACUCUCCGGUAGAAACUUUGGGGCACUCUUUGAAGUUCUUUGUGUUGGUUUGAAUAGAUGAAUCUGAGAUUGUGUGAUGCAUAUCGUAUAAUCAUUCCCGCGAAUACUUGAGGUGACAUUGGAGUAUCUAGGUGACAUUAGGGUUUUGGUUGGUGUGUGUCUUAAGGUGUUAUUUUACUACAAACUCUAGGGCUGUUUGUGACACUUAUAGGAAUAGUCGAAUUGAUUGAUCGGAAAGAAUAGCUUUGAGGUGGUUUCAUACCCUACAAUAAUCGCUUCAUUUGAUCUCCGCUAUUAGUAACUUUGGAGUGACUCUUUGUUGCACUUGAGGGAUUGUUAUAUGAUCUAAUCAUGUUACCUUUGUUGAGGGAACUUGCAUAGUGAAAGUAUGAACCCUAGGCCUUGUUUUGAAGCAUUGCAAUACCAUUUUCUCUCACUUUUGUUACUUGCUACCUUGCUAUUUUUAUAUUUUCAGAUUACAAAAACAUAUAUCUACCAUCCAUAUUGCACUUGUAUCACCAUCUCUUCACCGAACUAGUGCACCUAUACAAUUUACCAUUGUAUUGGGUGUGGUGGGGACACAAGAGACUCUUUGUUAUUUGGUUGCAGGGUUGUUUGAGAGAGACCAUCUUCAUCCUAUGCCUCCCACGGAUUGAAAUACCUUAGGUCAUCCACUUGAGGGAAAUUUUCUACUGUCCUACAAACAUCAGCACUUGGAGGCCCAACAACGUCUACAAGAAGAAGGUUGCGUAGUAGACAUCAAGCACCACCUAGGAUGCACGCAAUCGCGCGCGGCUCCUGGAAGCCCCCAGCCCCAUCAUCUUGGCAGUUGUCGUCGUUACUUCUCGGCGGCGGCGGCGGCUGAGGAAGGCCAGCAUUGCCCUAAGGACGGUCCUCACGGGGCUGGUCAUGCCAGGGGCUAUCAUGAGACUGGCCCUGCCAGCAGUCCUCACGAGGCUGAUCGUGCUAGCCCUGGCAGGGGUCGCGGUUGUCCCAGCGGCCCCCUCCACGGUCGUAGCCACUGUCGUUGCGCUCGGGACUGCGGCCAAGGCGCCUGUCGUGGAUUGCCCUGAGCUCUUGGCAGUCGUUGGUGUUGUGGCUGUGGACGUUGUGGAAGACGCAGAAUGAGCGGUUGCUGAUGUCUGCUACGCAACCUUCUUCUUGUAGACUCGUGUUGGGGCUCCAAGCGCGGAGUUUUGUGGGACAGUAGCAAAUUUCCCUCAAGUGGAUGACCUAAGGUUUAUCAAUCCAUGGGAGGCGUAGGAUGAAGAUGGUCUCUCUCAAACAACUCUGCAACCAAAUAACAAAGAGUCUCUUGUGUCCCCAACACACCCAAUAGAAUGGUAAAUUGUAUAGGUGCACUAGUUUUGCGAAGAGAUGGUGAUACAAGUGUAAUAUGGAUGGUAGAUAUUGGUUUUUGUAAUCUGAAAAUAUAAAAACAGCAAGGUAGCAAGUAACAAAAGUAAGCAAAAAUGGUAUUGCAAUGCUUGAAAACAAGCCCUAGGGUUCAUAAUUUCACUAGUGCAAGUUCUCUCAACAAUGAUAACAUAAUUAGACCAUAUGACAAUCCCUCAACGUGCGACAAAAUUCACUCCAAAUUUCCUAUCGCGGAGAACAUAAGAUGAAAUUGCUUGUAGGGUACGAAACCACCUCAAAGUUAUUCUUUCCGAUCAAUCCAUUGGCUAUUCCUAUAAGUUCACAAACAGCCCUAGAGUUCAUUGUAAAAUAACACCAUAUGACACACAUCAAUCAACCCUAAUGCCACCUAGAUACUCCAAUCAUGGUUUUAAAUAGCAGAUAGCAGGCUGGUAGCAUAUUGGGGUUUGCGUACCAGAAUGCGGAUAGCGAGCGAUAUUGCAGGCGCUAUGUCCGUGUAGCGGAUUUGUAAAAACACUAGAUUAUUGUGUAUAUUUCUAUAUCAUUAAUAAAAAGUAAUGUCAUUUAAUUUUAACAGUAGCGGACGCUAUUGCGCUAGCGCUAUUGCGGAUGCAAUAGCGAAUGCUAUCUCCGCUAUUUGAAACUAUGACUCCAAUGUCACCACAAGUAUCCGUGGAUCAAAUAUACGACAUGCAUCAAACAACUUCAUAUUCAUAAUAUUCAAUCCAACAUAAAGAACUUCAAGAGUAUCCCAAGAUUUCUAUCGGAGAAAGGAAUAUGAAAACGCGUACCAACCCUAUGCAUAGAUUACCCCAAUGUCACCACGGGAAUCCGCAAGUAGAUAACCAAAACAUACAUCAAGUGGAUCAAUAGAACAUCCCAUUGUCACCAUGGAUAUCCCAUAACAAGACAUACAGCAAGUGCUAUCACAUCCAAAGAUUCAAUCCGACAUAACAAAACCUCAAAGGAAAAGACUCAAUUCAUCACAAGGAGAUAGAGGGGGAGAAACACCAUAUGGUCGAACUAUAGAAACAAAGCUCGCGGUACAUCAAGAUCUAGCCAAAUCAAGAACACGAGAGAGAGAGAGAGAGAGAGAGAUCAAACACAUAGCUACUUGUACAUACCCUCAACCCCGAGGGUGAACUACUCCCUCCUCGUCAUGGAGACCGCCGGUAUGAUGAAGAUGGCCAUGGGUGAUGGUUUCCCCCUCCGGCAGGGUUCUGGAACGGGCUCCCAAAUGGUUUUUCAUGGCUACAGAGGCUUGCGAAGGUGGAACUUCCGAUCUAGGUUUCUUUCUGGGGUUUUCUCUAUUUAUAGGAGUUUUUGGCAUCGAGGACGAGUCAGGAGGGUCCACGAGGCAAAGACAAGGAAGGGGGCGCGCCCUCCACCCUUGUGGAUGCCUCGUGGCUCCUCUAGUCCAUCUUCGAUACUCCGUGGGCUUCUUUUGGUCCAUAAAAAAUCAUCGUGAAGUUUUAUUCCAUUUGGACUCCGUUUGGUAUUCCUUUUCUGCGAAGCUCAAAAACAAGGAAAAAAACAGAAACUGGCACUGGGCUCUAGGUUAAUAGGUUAAUCCCAAAAAUAAUAUAAAAUAGCAUAUAAAUGCAUAUAAAACAUCCAAAAUAGAUAAUAUAAUAGCAUGGAACAAUCAAAAAUUAUAGAUACGUUGGAGACGUAUCAGUUGCCUGUGGAGGAUUCGCCGUGGUCGCAACCGCGCUUCAGCUCAGGUUCAGCCACGAGCACAGCGGGGCCCUUGCGCUUCACCUCCUUAGCCUUUGCCUUCUUGACUUUAGGAUCGGCCUCUGGAAGCUCCAGGAGGGACGACAACCUUCCUCUGCUUGCGCAUCUGGUUGCCAUGUUGAACAUCUCCAGAGCCGAACACAAGUCUUCGUGGAUGGCGAGCUCCUCCUUCAUCUUGACAUCCCAGACACCAUCAAAUAAUGUUGAGAUGAUGGCCUCGUCCGACAGCUUCAGGAUCUUGAGGCGAACGUUCGUGAAGCAUUGUAUGUACUUGUGCAAGGUAUCGCCCGGUUGCUGCUUUAUACGCUGCAGGUCGCCUGCUGUAGGAGCGCGGUCUCGAGUGCCCUGGAAGUUUGCGCGCUCGCGCAGCUCGUCUCGGGAGGAGAUCGAUCCCACUGAGAGGUUCAGGAGCCAAGAACGUGUGCCAUCCUUGAGGGCCCUGGGGAAAUAGUUCGCCAUGACCUUGUCAUCACCGUUCGCCACCUCGAUGCUCAGCUCAUAGAGCUGGAGGAAUUUGGCAGGGUCAGGGGUGUUGUCGUAGCAUGGAGGCAGAUCCGGUUUGAACUUGUCGGGCCAAACGACGCGGUGCAGCUCCAGAGUGAAGGCACGGCAGCCAGCCGCACUCAUGGGUGCGGGUCACAUGGGAGGAGCUUGGUCUUGACGCCCACGCGCCACCGGUGCUGGUGAUGCGAGGUAUUGGUGGUGGCGCUGAGUCGCGAAGAGCGGACGUGCAGCGGCCAGCGGCCGCUGCACAACCUAGCAGCUUGCCUCAUAUCGUGUCAGCGCCCCGCACGGCGGGUCGUGCUGGGGCUCGGGGACAACGUCGCACCGAGGAGGAGGAGGAGGAGGAGGAGGUGCGUCGUCGGCCAUGUCUCCUGCCUGGGACAGCGGGGGAGGCAGCGAGCAUGACAUUGCGGGGGGCUCUCCAGCGGCGCUGACGAGCUUGGUGAUGCGGUGUAGCCAGUCUUCGUAGAGGUUGUUGGCUGAAUGAUAGCACAGGAGUUUGCACGCCAUGAGCAGCACAGCCUGCGCGUUCGCCAGCCCCCGACGAUCAUGAGAGGACGACGCAGUGGCUGGGGUAGGCGAUGGAGUGGCGGUGCGGCCAUCAUGCCGCACGGAAGGCGGCAGUGAUGAAUCCUGCUGCUCAUGAGCUGCAGGACUGGUGGCGGUGUUGGCCGUGGGGGAAGCAGAGCGGCAAGGAGCAUUGUUGCCGGCGGGCUUCGUUAGGGCGACGCGAGCGGCCCGGUGCUCGGUACGAACACGGCGAGCAUCAGCCAUAGGAGCGGCGGAACGACGGCGGAGCGAAAGGUAAAGAGAGGCUUCGGCGCGCCCCUACCUGGCGUGCCAAAUGUCGGAUUCAGGGCUCCGCAGACCCAAGAAAGGUUCGAACUCUGGGGCAUGUGCAAAGAACUCAACCUCUCUGGCCAACCGACCCAUCGUCCCACGGCCUAGCUCGAUGAACAAGGAAGUAGAUGAUACGACAGUUUACCCAGGUUCGGGCCACCUUGCGAUGUAAGACCCUACUCCUGAUUUCGGGUGGAUUUGCCUCACGGGGGGCUGAGGAUGAACAAGUACAAGGGAUGAAUAACCUCACGAGGUCUGCUAUGGUGAGGGAAAGAGUCGAGGGGUUCGGUGGAUCUGGAUCCGGAUCCGGCCCUCGGUGGUGGCUAACCUAUACUUAUAGUGGCCUCGGUCCUCUUCUCCCAAAACAUAGGCGGGAAGGGAUCCCACAAUGGCCAAUUUGAAAGGGGAUAAGUAGUACAUCUUAUCUUGACAAAAGGUGGUCUUCUCCUGCAAAGCUUCUGGUCGUGACGCCGCGGUGGGCUCGGCGAUGACAUCCGUCCUGGUGGCCUUGGUCUCAUUGCACCGGAAUGGAAACCUUUGCCUAGUUCCUCGGGAACCCACGCCUGCGCUUGCCUCCUUAGAACCAAAGAGGAAAUUGUCUUCUCUGCACCCGCUGGCGCCCGCCUGGCCUUGAUCGUCAUGGCUUGCGUCACCGCAACCUCAUGAGGUUGGGCACCUACAUAGGAAUCUCCGCUCCUCGGGAGCAACCUGGGGAGGAGACCGCUCCCUCAGGAGGUCUUGGCGUCCUUUCCCUCGCGAGGGUCUUGUCUUGGUGGUGUCGUAGAUGGGCCGUACCAGGCCAUCGAUGGAGCCACGCCAUGGGCCGUAGGCAGGCAAGUUUGGAUACCCUGGUUCCCAAAACACCGACAGAAGCAUUAUCCGCGCAUCAGCCAAAAAGCUCGUCGGUCGAAGCUAGAAAACGUCAUCGACAUCGGUCUGGGAUAGACCAUCCUCCCAGAGAAGAAGGCAACGAAGGGAGCUAAACGACCACCACUGGCCAUAUAGAUUCAGUGAGACCUACCCUCACAAGCUUCCCAAUGACACCAAAGCGAGUAGAACAUUACCGGUCAAAGAAAGAGCCAUAGGACCAACCACUCUGUCGAAAGACACCUUCAAAGACCACCAGCAUAGUAUGAAGACACAACCAAUUCCACCACUCCGGGAGAGGGAAUUAGGAGAUAUACACAAGACCAGACAAUACUUUUCCCUCCUCUAUGUCGUCGAUGAGGUGGGCCAGGAGUCGAUGAAAUCUUAUUUUUGAUCAGCAUGGUGUUGCCAUUACCAUCACAGCAACAUUGUUGAGGAACGGAACACUAUUCCUUAGAGACCUAACUACAACUCCACAAUGGAAACCAACGGUCCCCAACCCCUCCCGACGCCAGAGCAACGGGCGAAGGAGGAGCGGACCUGUGGCCUCGCCGGUAGGGAGUGGAUGGAGCGGCAGUGAUUGUCUAGGGUUUCUGGUUGGACUUGCAAGAAUAAUAUCAUUGCAUCUAUCUUGCAAAAUUCUUUCUCAUGAUAUCAUUGUUUUUACUGUCUUUUACGUAUAUUUGGGCAUCUCGAGUGGCAACCCACAAAUUUCCUCUUGCAUCUGUCCACGAACGAGUGGACCAGUUUGUGGGCACGGAUGCGGGAGACCGCCGUCCAACCACAUCAUGUAUAUGUCCGCCAGUAAAUUCAAGUUCAAAACUACUCUGAUCCACACAGCGCGCCCGAUCACACCAGCGCCGGAUUGGAUGCCCAAUCACAACUAAAAUGAUGAAAAUAUCGCUAGUUUACAUGCCUAAAUCCAAAAGAACAUCCGUCCACGAGUCUGUGCAUUUUUUCCCUGCUGAACCGGCAAUCCCAGCCAGCUGCUCCCUGAUCAAGGAGGUGUCGUCGCCGUCGUGUAGGCAGCCUCCGCCUCCGCGUCCUCAUAGUCCGUCGCUGCCAACUCAUCUUUCUGCUGCUGCAACAUCUGGUAGCGGGCGGAUUGCACGAUCAUUAUUGCGUCGGCAUCCAAAGAGAUGACAUUCAAGAUCAACAUUUUGGCGUCCACCACAUUGGCGACGAUCUUCACCCUCUUUUCCUCGAGUGUGACCUUCCUCGCUUCGAUCAUGGUCCUCCUUUCUUCCAGCUUGAGCUUCUUGUCUGCCACGUCCAUCAACAGCUUGAACCUCUCCACCUUCUUCUCUCCUUUAUGUCCGAGUGCCUCACGCAUGCCUCCUCCUUCUUCACCAAGAUGUCCUCAAACCUCUUCGUCAGCUUGGUUACUGCACCUUUUCGCUUCGCCCUCUCCUCCUCCCACUUCUUCCCCUAUAAAUUUCUUCUAACCUUCUUCGUGGUUCUUGGGUUGGGUCGGUAGGGUCACCAGUUUCUUCCUUGUUUGCUUUGGUGGUGGUCUUGGCAAUGAAAAGGUCCCACUUUGGUUGCCCAUUCAACUUCAAAGAACAAUGCACGAUCGUGAAGGCAUUCUUCUCCAACUUCUUGUACACCACACAAGUACGAGUAGGUGAUACGUCUCCAACGUAUCUAUAAUUUUUUAUUGUUCCAUGCUAUCAUAUUAUCCAUCUUGGAUGUUUUAUAUGCUAUUUUAUAUGAUUUUUGGGACUAACCUAUUAACCUAGAGCCCAGUGGUAGUUUCUGUUUUUCCUUGUUUUUGAGUUUUACAGAAAAGGAAUAACAAAUGGAGUUCAAUUGACCUGCCAAUUUAUGGAGAUUUUUAUGGACCAGAAGAAGCCCCAGAAGCAAAAGAGUUGGGCCAGAAGAGUCUCGAGUCAUCCACGAGGGUGGGGGCGCGCCCUAACCCCCUGGUAGCAUGCCCCUACCUCGUGGCUGACUCGGAGACCCCCCCCCCUAACAUGAAACCGACGCCAAAAAUCCAUAUAAAUACACAAACCCCUGAAAAGAAACCUAGAUCAGGAGUUCUGCCGCCGCAAGCCUCUGUAGCCACCAAAAAACAAUCGGGACCCUAAUCCGGCACCCUGUCGGAGGGGGGAUCCAUCACCGGUGGCCAUCUUCAUCAUCCCGGCGCUCUCCAUGACAAGGAGGGAGUAGUUCACUCUCGGGGCUGAGGGUAUGUACCAGUAGCUAUGUGUUCGAUCUCUCUCUCUCUCGUGUUCUUGAUAUGGCACGAUCUUGAUGUACCGCGAGCUUUGCUAUUAUCGUUGGAUCUUAUGAUUUUUCUCCCCCUCUACCUUCUUGUAAUGGAUUGAGUUUUUCCUUUGAAGUUAUCUUAUCGGAUUGAGUCUUUAAGGAUUUGAGAACACAGUAUGUAUGUCUUGCAUGUGCUUAUCUAUGGUGACAAUGGGAUAUUCACGUGAUUCACUUGAUGUAUGUUUUGGUGAUCAACUUGCGGGUUCAGUGACCUUGUGAACUUAUGCAUAGGGAUUGGCACACGUUUUUGUCUUGACUCUCCGGUAGAAACUUUGGGGCACUCUUUGAAGUUCUUUGUGUUGCUUUGAAUAGAUGAAUCUGAGAUUGUGUGAUGCAUAUCAUAUAAUCAUACCCGCGGAUACUUGAGGUGACAUUGGAGUAUCAAGGUGACAUUAGGGUUUUGGUUGAUGUGUGUCUUAAGGAGUUAUUUUACUACGAACUCUAGGGUUGUUUGUGACACUUAUAGGAAUAGCCCAAUGGAUUGAUCGGAAAGAGUAACUUUGAGGUGGUUUUGUACCCUACCAUAAUCUCUUCGUUUGUUCUCCGCUAUUAGUGACUUUGGAGUGACUCUUUGUUGCAUGUUGAUGGAUUGUUAUAUGAUCUAAUUAUUUUAUAAUUGUUGAGAGAACUUACGUUAGUGAAAGUAUGAAUCAUAGGCCUUGUUUUGAAGCAUUGCAAUACCGUUUUCGCUCACUUUUAUUACUUGUUACCUUGCUGUUUUUAUAAUUUCAGAUUACAAAAACCUAUAUCUACCAUCCAUAUUGCACUUGUAUCACCAUCUCUUUGCCGAACUAGUGCACCUAUACAAUUUACCAUUGUAUUGGGUGUGUUGGGGACACAAGAGGCUCUUUGUUAUUUGGUUGCAGGGUUGUUUGAGAGAGACCAUCUUCAUCCUACGCCUCUCACGGAUUGAUAAACCUUAGGUCAUCCACGUGAGGGAAAUUUGCUACUAUCCUACAAACCUCUGCACUUGGAGGCCCAACAACGUCUACAAGAAGAAGGUUGCGUAGUAGACAUCAGUAGGCUACAAAGUGAAACAAUAUCGACAAUGCAUAUCCGUCUAGUGAGUAACAAAACAAUACAUGUCCGGCUAGUGAUCAACAAAACUAAAGCAUAUCCGGCUAGUGAUCAACUUACUUGCUCGGUGAUUUGUGCACCGCUAGCUAGGCCACUGUACGAUAUGAGAUGCUUCAAGUGCCUACAAUACUUGGACACAACCUCUUGGAUGGUGUACCAUGGAUGGUUGAAGGACUUCCGUUCAUGGUUGCGGAUGACCGCGUCGGAGUAGGGCGUGAAAUGCUUGUGUUCAUGGAACCAUAAUCAAUGCUAGUGGCCAACCAUGCGUCGCAGGACAGCUUGUCCUCCUGCAUGUUGAAGCUUUCUCCUCUACCCUUCUUUAGAUCGUCGGCUGUAUCAUCCGAACCAUCGUCGUCGCCGUCCUUCUCCUCCUCCUCAUCUGGAUGUUGCUCUCCGGCGGCCUAAAGUUGUUGUUGUUGUAUGCCAUCGUCGGUCUGGGUGUAGGAAUGUUGCUGCUGGUAGUUGCCGGGUUGGGUGGGAUCCAAGUCUUCCACCUGCCCGUCCUCAUAGCCCACUCCUCCUCUCUCGCCUUCGUCGUGGAUGAUGUCGGGCAUCUCCCUGUCUGUGUCGUACGCCAGCUCCCCCGCUCUAGGCAUUACAGCGAACAGCGUGGGCACCCAUCUGCUCCCCAACUGUCUUAUGUGCCCAGACGACCUGCGGCGAAGAAUACUUGCAGAAGAGCGGCGCCGCGUUAACGUCGACGGUGUAAGGCACCGUACCGGUGGGGGUUCCAAGCUGCUUGGCGGCGCAGUAGUAUGGAGGCUUGUAAGGCUCCGGCCAUGGGGUCGUCCGUACUGUGGGCGUAGCCGUCUGACGGCGUCCGCCACGGCCAUGCCGACCGCCUCGCCCGCCACGACCUCCACGCCCAUCGCCACCACCAGGCUCACCGGCGGCCAACCACUUCUUGAGCUUCUCCUCCUUUGCGGCCUUCACUUUGACGCGUCGAGUUUGCUGCAUCGUCGAGCUGAUCUUCCAGGAGAGUGUGAUGCUUAGAUCCUCCGGCACGUCCGUCGGCUCCAUCUUCGACAAGUUUUCCAACGGUUCCAAGCGUUGGCGGAGGAAGGAAGGAGAGGGUGGGGAAAAAGAGCGGGAAUUGGGCGGAGAGCGGCGGGGGGUGGAAGAAGAGAGUGGGAGAUUUUGGCGCGGAAACAGUGUGAGAUGCUAUAAAGCGUGGGCUCCGCCUUCCUUUUGUGUGGGCCAGGGGUAUAGAGCGACGUUUCUCGUGUCCAGACUCCCGCAAAGUCCCCCACAUUUGUCUCCAGUUUGAGGGAGAUAAUACGUCCGGACCGCGCCACGGACCGAUACAUGACCGCGUUAGAUGGCUUCCGUGGUCCGAACAGCGUAGUCCGAACGCAUGCGGGAGGUUUGCGGGUCAGAGCUGGAGAUGCCCUUACAAGUACAAAUUAUAGCCAGCAUCGUGCCCCAAAGACCAUGAAAAGUUAAACCUCCUUACAUUUUUUCGAGCGUAGGGAGUGACGAUUCACUUCAAGAAAAGAAGUAAUUAACCAAGAACUUAAUCUAGAUAAGAUCUGUCACACAUGUUCCUUUCAUCCCAGUGGCCACACCCACACAAAAUAAACAACAGUGGAACCCAAAACAAAUAUACCAGCCACAAUAAUUGCGUUACGUAUACUUGUCGUGUACCACGUACGAAGGUUGACCCCUACCGCCCUACUAGUACGUAUUAUUCCCGGGAGCUUUUCACCACGAAUCUGUUCCUCGCAACUCGAUCACAUGCAUGCACACCUAUUCUAUCCCGGGGACAGCCGCCGUCCAUGUCACCGUCACCAUAUAUAUUUCGCUGAUGGAUUUGAUAUAUGGAUCGACCGAUUUGAAAUAUGUUUGUACGACCGGUGUGAGUCAUGCACGCGGGACUCCGGCCGUGGAGAGGCAAAGGUCCAACUACAACUGUCCAAGAGCGCACCUAACAUGGAUGUGUCACGAAUCACGUUUGAUUAUUAUGCGUGCAAUGAUAUAUUUGUUGAUUAUUAAUGUGGUGUGUGUGUGUGUACUGGAUGGGGCAUUAGUGACGAUUUGUGGCGAGGGCGGGGGGACAUGUCUGGAUAUAUAGGUCUCGCAGCAUGUGGAUCCAAACAUUGUUGCAUCAUAAUAUGCCAUGGCAUUGGUAACUUUAUUGGCUCACUUUUUACAAGUUCGUCUUUUGGAAAUUGAAUGUUGUCAUAAGUAAAACUUUGUGGAUGGCGUCGUACUUUUUCUAGUAAAGGAAUUUGAUUGCUUCGAUCGUCAUGUCAAGAUGGUAAAAACUGUUAGGACGGUUCAAAAGCCACAUCAUUUCUACAUAACCAAAGUGCCCGACACAGAGCCGUCGCCCCCAUCGUUCAUUCUUAGGGCAUCUUUAAGGCGGAUCCGCAAAUCACCCACAUCCAUCCGGAUCGGGUUGUACGGACCGCCGAAGCCAUACAACGCGGGUUUGUAUCAGUUCGCGAGGCGGUCCGGACGCGUUUUCUCCGGCAAACCGGGGACAAAAGUGGGGGGGGGGGGGUGCGGGAAUCCGAACACCAGACACGUAGGACUUCGACACCCCUGGCCCGCCCAAAAUCCUUCCCGGACCCCGCGCCUCCAUCCUUUCCAUUUUGUCUUCUUCCUUCUUUCUCUUUUGCCUUCACCGCCGCUCGACCAUCCCGGCCGCCACGCCACAACCCUGCCGAAAAUCUACGUCUCCCUCACCUCCAGCGCUUCAGCAGGACUCCACCCCACUUCUCCUCCGUCACUGUUCAACCCUCUGACCGCCCCGCCAGGUACCGUACAUUGUUAUACUCACCAUGGUUGGCAAUUGUUCGAUGAAUUAUUGCAGCUAAAAAAAUCCCUUCUUCUUUCUGGCAAUGGAUUUUCAUUUGAAGUACAUGUACGAGCAGUAUGUUGAGUUGUCCCGCGAGGAGUACUCCGAUGAGAUGGCGAUGAUGCGGGCGGUCCUUGAAGACGUCGAGCGUGCGGAGGAGCUUGUUCUCAGUUUAAAAGAAAAAAAAAAGAAAGGCUGAUGUAUACGGCUAUGGUUGAAUGGCGGCCUCCGCAUCCGUGUCCUCCCCUGUCCGUGGACGGAAGCGGGAGGAAAUUUGCGGGUUGCCGUUGGAGAUGCUCUUAAGCAGCACGAAUAACUUCUCUCUGCAAAAAAAAACAUAGGAUUACCGUUCAUUGGGGUGGUGGAGUUGUGGGUGUCACACACAUAAAUUCCUCCAGUUCGUUUAUACUUUGUGCAAUCGAAAUCGGAUUUAUGUUCAGUCCUAGUCAGUUCUAAGGUCACGCUUUAGGGAGCCGACACGUGUGCCAAAGCUUGGGUCACUGAUCCGUAUAAUACUGCACUUAUGCAAUGGAUUAGUACAUAAGUAGGUCAACAGUUUUUUCGUGUCAAUGGUACGGCACAGCUAGCUUGAAACGGGAAGCCAUAUGCAAGAAAACAAAAAAGAAAUUCAGUCUUUUCAAUGUUCCCUUUCAUUGCAUAUUCCGGCUUCCGUGGAAGGAAAUCCGCCACACAGGUUCAUCAAAUUAUGCAGGUUAUUAUAUAUCGGCCACACCUGCUGCGCUGGUGCAGAUCCAGCUAGUUAAAUCAGCAAAACACAUAUUGUUAGAUAAACCAGAAUGAUAUAUAGGUUAUUUAUUUCUGAUUCACAGGGUGGCAUUUGCCGGCCCUGGUGGCAGAGAGAGGGGCCAAUUUUAAUCAACAGAUUUGCAAAGUAAGCAACAUAUGUUGAUGUUGCUAGAAUUUCAAUAAAAAUUGUCUAGUAAUAAACCACAAGGAUCAGGGGCAUGGCUGGGGCACCGGUGUGAGAUCAAGAGUCUAGGGCACAUGAAGAAGAGGAUGAACCCAGCUGUUAAGGGCAGCUUCAGCUUGGUACUGGUAGGCUGCUGAUCCAAUCCGCUCCAAAUUCUCAAAGAAAGCCAUAAUAUAUACUCCCUCCGUUGCUAAAUAUAAGCCCUUUUAAAGAUUUCAGUAGGGACUACAUACGGAGUAAAAUGAGUGAGUCCACACUCUAAAAUGCGUGUAUAUACAUCCGCAUCCGUAUGGAAGUCUCUAAAAGGGCUUACAUUUCAAGACGGAUGGAGUAUUUGAGAGCCAAGUUGGGAAAAUGGACAAGUGAGCGUAUGUUGGAGAUUCAGAAAGAAGAGGAUCCCAACGCACUUAGUGAACAUGGGCACAAGUGGCCGGAGCUGGAUUGGGUGCAGGGCUCUGAAAGGGGAACAACCCUUACAUCGGCGUAAAGCGCUACCAAAGCGGGUCACAUAAGUAGCGAGUGAACAUUGGUUGGCGGGCUCUCUGUCUGCCCAUCACUUUGACUCUUUGAGGAUGGCAUCAAGGGCUGCUUCCAAAAUUGGCAUGUGAAACCGCUUAUCACCCCCAUCAGAAACAACGUAGAGCUUGACAGACAGUUUGGUAGCCUAACUUCAGCACGGGUUUUUCUCUUUCUUUACGGUAGCUGUAGAGCAAUGUUUUGGAGGAGGAAAGUACACUACAACAAGAAUGACAAUUGUUGCCUUUGAUUUUAUUUUUUUAAUAAAAACGAGAACCCUAAUGAAUAAGGCUCCAGUGACCAAAUAAACCCAAUGCUUUUUUUUUUCCUAGUUUCACCCUAGAGUGGAAUGAGAAAGCAUUGGCCAAUUUAGUUUUGAGACAAAGAUUAGCUCACAUCCUAAUUUUUCACAAAGUGCACGUAGAAUGAAACCUUAGCUGACUAACACCAAGUGCAAAAUGAACUAGGAACAAACAUCAUAUAAAUAAGAUUUGCCACCAGAGAACUGCUUCAGUAAGUCCUACCACGCACCAAAGAUGGCAUGUUGCGACAAGCCGAGCUGCCAUCAGGCAAUCCAAGAGCUAACAUGAUAACAGUUCCAACAUACUCCCUCCGUUCCAAAAUACUUGUCGUGGUUUUAGUUCAAAUUUGAAAAUUUUGAACUAAAAACACGACAAGUAUUUUGGAAUGAAGGGAGUACAUCAUAAACAGAUUCACAAGUUCAAUGCUAACUCAACAAUCAUUUAUUUCCACGUAGUAAUACACAUAAGCCUAGAGAGCACAUUUAUUCAAGUUCAAAAUUGAAUGGACGACUCACUCGUACUCAAACAGUCUACAAAGACUAGAAUUACAUCACCAACCGAUAGUACAUCACAGAACUACAGCGAAACACAAUCGCCAUACUGGAGAAACCGGAACACCACAGAACAACAACUCUAGAUCGCCAGUGUUCUUGCCAACAGCAGCCCCCACGCACCGCCGGCAUUCAUCUCAAACCUUCUGGAAGCGGAACUAACACAUCCAACUACACUCAUCAACCAUUCGGAGGCGUCCGAAAGCAAGUUUUGCCUCGAAUAACAGAGAAGACCGCGAAAAAGUUUUACAAAAUAAUGGUUGAGUCAGAUCAGCUAUGGUCGGUUACAGCCGAAUAGUAUCCUUCUAUAUAUGUACUUCAAGAGAAACCGAUAUCAUGCACAUUCUGCAUUGGAUGCGUUGGUAUCAUCUGAUCAUUUAAGGACUUUCUUGACUUCCUCAACAAACUGUGCUCUCCUUGAGGGAUCCAUCUGAACAAGCGAGUGACCAAAGAAAAAGCAUUAUCAUUAUUUGUUAAGACACUAUAUAUACAUAAGAUGGCAACAUUUCACUCAACCUCAAUAAAUUACUUUCAAGAAAUAAAACAGUAAGUAUGUGUACCUUCUCUAGUAGCAUAGAAAGACCCUGUGGCAAGGCUUCUAGAUCUGGACUGGAGUCUGCAACAUCUGAGAGCAACUGAGAUACCCUUUGAGCCCUGAGUUCUUUGAUAUACUCCUGGUAGUUUUCAGGGUUUUCCCUCCAGGCAACAAAAGCAUCGUCAUCAUCCCAUUCAGUGCUUCCUGUUUCAGCUCCCUUAGAGGCCAAGUACCAUUUCUGGAUCAGCUCGAUUGCCGAUUGGUGAGAAAACUGCUUGCCACUUACACCUCUAAUUUCCUUCGCAAGAACAUCCUCGGAUAUCCUCCUCCGUAAUCUCUUGUAGAAGAACGACCUAGAAUCUUCCCAGUCUACAACCUUCUUAAUCACACCCUUAGCAGCCAUUCUAAGGGAAGUGUCAUGCAAUUCAGCGAACCGUACCGCAAUUUGAGUAUACAAAGGCAACAACUGUUUCUUCCGGGCUUCUAUGCUCUUCUGAAGGGAUUCUGACUCAGGUAGACUUCCAUUUUCAUGCUUUACUCCCUGGAGCUUUGCCUUCAGAUUUAUCAAUUCUGGAUCAAGCCUACCCAUGCACUCUUGGAGUUCCUCUGACCUGAACUUGAUCUCGAUCAACCCUUGAGGUUCGAGAACAUUGCCCUUUGCAGUCCUCUCAGCAUAGAACUCAAUGCGAUCUGGAUUUAUCUUGCUAUCAAUCACGACCCAAGCCCCUCCACGUAGCUCUGCAGCCUUGGGGAUAUAUACAAAGGCAGGCUGAUUGUAUGUCCUAAGGUUCUCAACAAUUGUUGACCCAGCCUGAAGGAUUCCUUCAAAAAGAUCUCUUUGUCCACCAGAGAAGCCUCUCCAGUUAGCAAGGAUGAACAGAGGUAAUCCUUCACGGUUGAAGUCCAGCAUUGCCUGCGCUGUCUUAGUAGCUGAAUCUGGAAACCAGACUUGCCCAGCACGAGGAACAGACCGCUCAUGGGAAUCAAGCUGGCCUGGAUCAGCAGGGAUGAGCUGCAUCAUAGUCUGUGUCUCCACAGCUAUAACACCCACCGGAAUCCCUCCGAGUUUAGCUCUGCCAGUAACAACUGACUUCGCCCAUCCUUCAAAUGUCUCCACAAAACUGUCUUUGUCGAACAUGCCCCCCAACCAUUUCCCUUGGCUAUCAUCAAUGCCACUGAUGGCAGCACGAGGAUCGCAUGUAUUCUCAGGGAUGUAAGCAACGGGUCUGUCAGGUGGGUCCAAAGAUUUUGUAAUAGGAAGAGGUCCACCAAUGUUGGCAGGAACAUAGCUGAGCCACCUCAAUAUAUUAGAUACACCUUCAAGGUCAUCUGAAACUGUCAGAUGGACAACACCGUUUGUCGCCAUAAUUUUGGGGCCACCCAACUGCAUGUGGGAGCUGUAAACUUCCCGGCCAAGAAGCUUGUUCAAGGCAGAGAACCCAGUUAGGAUAAUGGGCUGGUCAGUACGCUGUAUGCACCGUAUGCCAAGUCGAGCAAGAUAUGCUCCUAUUCCAACAGUCCGUCCAGUCACAAAUGUAAGCGUAAAUGUCUCCUCAUAGGCCCUAGAAUAGGCACUGGCAAUAGCAGCACUUCCAUGUAUGUUCUCCACACCUAGCCCAUCCUCCUUCCCCACAACAGAAUCGAUAACCCACCUAAUUUCACCAUUAUCAAGCUGCAUCUUGUGCGCUAUAACAGAAGUGCUAAUACGA